GAUGAACGCUGGCGGCGUGCCUAAUACAUGCAAGUCGAGCGAACGGACGAGAAGCUUGCUUCUCUGAUGUUAGCGGCGGACGGGUGAGUAACACGUGGAUAACCUACCUAUAAGACUGGGAUAACUUCGGGAAACCGGAGCUAAUACCGGAUAAUAUAUUGAACCGCAUGGUUCAAUAGUGAAAGACGGUCUUGCUGUCACUUAUAGAUGGAUCCGCGCUGCAUUAGCUAGUUGGUAAGGUAACGGCUUACCAAGGCAACGAUGCGUAGCCGACCUGAGAGGGUGAUCGGCCACACUGGAACUGAGACACGGUCCAGACUCCUACGGGAGGCAGCAGUAGGGAAUCUUCCGCAAAGGGCGAAAGCCUGACGGAGCAACGCCGCGUGAGUGAUGAAGGUCUUCGGAUCGUAAAACUCUGUUAUUAGGGAAGAACAAAUGUGUAAGUAACUGUGCACGUCUUGACGGUACCUAAUCAGAAAGCCACGGCUAACUACGUG
rnacentral:rRNA from 1 species